AUGCAUCCCCAGUUUGCUUCCAGAGAAGGAAGGGGAAGAGUUACAAUUACAACAUGGGGCUUCAAGUGUCUAUUACUGUGGAUCACCAAUAUUUUGUUAUAUCCGUGCAUUUUAGUUACGACUAAGUGCCACACCAAUGAAUGUGAAUGUCUGUUCAGGGUUUUCUUGUUGCUGCUAUUCCUCGUGGAUAUUCAAGAGGCAACUUGGCACCUAAUGUCAGCAACGUGCUUAUCGGUGACGAGGGAAAUGAAAGAAGGCUGCAAUGGAAUUUGUACUAGAUCAGAUUUUGGCCAUGUAGUUUCCGGUGACUGGAAGUCUAAAACUGAGGAUAGGACAGAUUGUUUUGAUUCCGAUUACUUGGAGAUCUUGUGGCUUGCUGUCCCUGGAUCAGUCAGACCUACGGCAGCAUCAACUCGUUGA
rnacentral:rRNA from 1 species